rnacentral:rRNA from 1 species
CCAAGGAGUCUUGCAAACGCGCGAGUCACUGGGCUCGUNCGAACCCCAAGGGCGCAAUGAAAGUGAAGGNCCGCCCCUCGCGGGUAGCCUCAGGUGGGAUCCCGGCCCUCCGGGUUGGGCGCACCACCGGCCCGCCUCGCCGGCCCCGUUCGGGAGGCGGAGCAGGAGCGUGUUUGCAGGGACCCGAAAGAUGGUGAACUAUGCCUGAGCAGGGUGAAGCCAGAGGAAACUCUGGUGGAGGCCCGCAGCGGUUCUGACGUGCAAAUCGAUCGUCUGACUUGGGUAUAGGGGCGAAAGACUAAUCGAACCAUCUA